rnacentral:rRNA from 1 species
CGGAGGGCUAGCGUUGUUCGGAAUUACUGGGCGUAAAGCGCACGUAGGCGGCUACUCAAGUCAGAGGUGAAAGCCUGGAGCUCAACUCCAGAACUGCCUUUGAAACUAGGUAGCUUGAAUCAUGGAGAGGUGGGUGGAAUUCCGAGUGUAGAGGUGAAAUUCGUAGAUAUUCGGAAGAACACCAGUGGCGAAGGCGGCCCACUGGACAUGUAUUGACGCUGAGGUGCGAAAGCGUGGGAGCAAACAGGAUU